rnacentral:tRNA from 1 species
GAAAAGAUAAGUUAAAUUAAACUUUUAGGUUCAUACCCUAAUUAUAGAGAUAAAACUCUCUUCUUCUCA